AGGUGCUGCACGGCUGUCGUCAGCUCGUGUCGUGAGAUGUUGGGUUAAGUCCCGCAACGAGCGCAACCCUCGUGUUUAGUUACUAACAGUUCGGCUGAGGACUCUAGACAGACUGCCUGGGUAACCAGGAGGAAGGUGAGGACGACGUCAAGUCAUCAUGGCCCUUACGGCCAGGGCUACACACGUGCUACAAUGGGGUAUACAAAGAGCCGCGAUACCGUGAGGUGGAGCAAAUCUCAUAAAAUAUCUCCCAGUUCGGAUAGCAGUCUGCAACUCGACUGCUUGAAGUUGGAAUCGCUAGUAAUCGUAGAUCAGCAAUGCUACGGUGAAUACGUUCCCGGGUCUUGUACUCACCGCCCGUCACACCAUGGGAAUUGAAUUCAUUCGAAGCGGGGAUGCUAAAAUAGCUACCUUCCACAGUGGAUUUAGUAACUAGGGUGAAGUCGUAACAAGGUA
rnacentral:rRNA from 1 species